AUUGAACGCUGGCGGCAGGUCUAACACAUGCAAGUCGAGCGGAUGAAGGGAGCUUGCUCCUGGAUUCAGCGGCGGACGGGUGAGUAAUGCCUAGGAAUCUGCCUGGUAGUGGGGGAUAACGUCCGGAAACGGGCGCUAAUACCGCAUACGUCCUGAGGGAGAAAGUGGGGGAUCUUCGGACCUCACGCUAUCAGAUGAGCCUAGGUCGGAUUAGCUAGUUGGUGGGGUAAAGGCCUACCAAGGCGACGAUCCGUAACUGGUCUGAGAGGAUGAUCAGUCACACUGGAACUAAGACACGGUCCAGACUCCUACGGGAGGCAGCAGUGGGGAAUAUUGGACAAUGGGCGAAAGCCUGAUCCAGCCAUGCCGCGUGUGUGAAGAAGGUCUUCGGAUUGUAAAGCACUUUAAGUUGGGAGGAAGGGCAGUAAGUUAAUACCUUGCUGUUUUGACGUUACCAACAGAAUAAGCACCGGCUAACUUCGUG
rnacentral:rRNA from 1 species